AAAUUAAAGUGGGUAGGACCAAUCAAAAGGGUGGAAGUAAUUCUACUAAUGUCUCCCACAAACUGAAUGUGGAAAUUGUGGCUGAACAACCAGACGAAAUUGAUAUCUGUCGGGUUAAUCUUAGACAUGCAAAGGACCAAAUUUCUCAUGAUGAUGCGGGUUUGGAUGAAAAUUCUGAAGCAGCAACGUUGGAGAUUGGGAAGCAGUUGGGUUUGACGAAUUCUAAAUCAGAUGAGGCAAUGUAGUUAUUUUUCUUAAAUCACAUUAAAUCUGAUUAGUUUUGUCUCUUUAAUGCUAGCAAUUUGAUUUUCUCUCUUUGUCAUUGGGUGUCGUUGGGUCCUUUUUUUCUAUUUUGAUUCUCUAGUUGUUGCUGGUCUCUAGUGUUUUUUUGUAUUAUUGAAGCAUCUGACAUGGAGUCGCCCUUCUGAUUGCACGUUGACUGUUAGCUGUUGAUUUUGGGUGUUGUGGCAAGUGCUGGAACUGGCUUAAUGGAAUGUGUUGUGGAUUUUUUUUUUUUCCUCAAUGGUGAGUGGUGAUUCUUUUCCUCAAGUUUCCUCAAUUUUAUUUACUCUAUUUCUUCUUUGUUGGGAUAUGUCUGUUGGAAUAUCCAGUUCUGAUUUGAGGCAAGCUUGAAUGUUUCUGCGCAUUUUCACUCAUGUUCUCUGGUUUUUAGAGCCUUAAGGAGUUCUGUUGGUUGAUUGUCCUCAUGCUUUGUGGGUUCCAGUUCUCUUCGCGAAGUGUUCUUGCUUCUUGCUGGUUCAAUUGUUCAAGGUCCAGUGUAAUUUUUUUUUUCUCAGGAGAAUCACAUCUUGGCUGUUGUUUUUGUGGGCUAAGCCAACUUGUUUUCUUGAGGAAGUUAAGAUACAUCUACCGUGUCUUUCAGUUUUGGUGUUGAGUUUUGUUACCUUUGCUGUUAUCUUGUCAUUGAUUACUUGGUCUUUCUCUUUGACCAGUGUGUGCUUUGUUUUGACUUUUUAUCUCAUUUUGUUUUGUUGCUAGCUCAUGCUUGCUAUGUGUACUUUUAUUAUUAUUAUUAUUA
rnacentral:misc_RNA from 1 species